rnacentral:rRNA from 1 species
GACGAACGCUGGCGGCGUGCUUAACACAUGCAAGUCGAACGGAAAGGCCCUGCUUUUGUGGGGUGCUCGAGUGGCGAACGGGUGAGUAACACGUGAGUAACCUGCCCUUGACUUUGGGAUAACUUCAGGAAACUGGGGCUAAUACCGGAUAGGAGCUCCUGCUGCAUGGUGGGGGUUGGAAAGUUUCGGCGGUUGGGGAUGGACUCGCGGCUUAUCAGCUUGUUGGUGGGGUAGUGGCUUACCAAGGCUUUGACGGGUAGCCGGCCUGAGAGGGUGACCGGCCACAUUGGGACUGAGAGACGGCCCAGACUCCUACGUGAGGCAGCAGUGGGGAAUAUUGCACAAUGGGCGGAAGCCUGAUGCAGCAACGCCGCGUGCGGGAUGACGGCCUUCGGGUGGUAAACCGCUUUCGCCUGUGACGAAGCGUGAGUGACGGUAAUGGGUAAAGAAGCACCGGCUAACUACGUG